UAAUACCGCGUACGCCCUGAGGGGGAAAGCAGGGGACUUGCUUGCAAGCCUUGCGAUGUCAGAUGAGCCCAAGCCGGAUUAGCUAGUUGGUAGGAGUAAAGGCCUACCAAGGCGACGAUCCGUAGCUGGUCUGAGAGGAUGAUCAGCCACACUGGGACUGAGACACGGCCCAGACUCCUACGGGAGGCAGCAGUGGGGAAUAUUGGACAAUGGGGGCAACCCUGAUCCAGCCAUGCCGCGNGUGUGAAGAAGGUCUUAGGAUUGUAAAGCACUUUAAGUCAGGAGGAAGGCGCUCUGGUUAAUACCUGGAGUGAUUGACGUUACUGACAGAAUAAGCACCGGCUAACUUCGUGCCAGCAGCCGCGGUAAUACGAAGGGUGCAAGCGUUAAUCGGAAUUACUGGGCGUAAAGCGCGCGCAGGCGGUUCGAUAAGAAAGAUGUGAAAGGCCUGGGCUCAACCUGGGAAUGGCAUUUUUAACUGUCGGGCUAGAGUACGGUAGAGGGUGGUGGAAUUUCCUGUGUAGCGGUGAAAUGCGUAGAUAUAGGAAGGAACAUCAGUGGC
rnacentral:rRNA from 1 species